rnacentral:rRNA from 1 species
UACGUAGGUGACAAGCGUUGUCCGGAUUUAUUGGGCGUAAAGAGCGUGUAGGCGGCCAGGUAGGUCAGCUGUGAAAACUCGAGGCUCAACCUCGAGACGCCGGUUGAAACCAUCUGGCUAGAGUCCGGAAGAGGAGAGUGGAAUUCCUGGUGUAGCGGUGAAAUGCGCAGAUAUCAGGAAGAACACCCGUGGCGAAAGCGGCUCUCUGGAACGGUACUGACGCUGAGACGCGAAAGCGUGGGGAGCGAACAGG